ACUUAAAUAGUUUAAUUAAAAUAUCGAUUUGUGAUAUCGGGGAUAUAUAGUGUUAUUUUAGGUU
rnacentral:tRNA from 1 species